GACCAGUUUGGGGAACAGGGCAAGGUGGGCAGUAGCUGACAGCCUGUUUACACUUGUCUUUCUUUCCCCAGGCUAUAGUUCGGUUG
ensembl:miRNA Mir3572 microRNA 3572